CUCAGGGUGUGAAGCACUAAUCAGAUAGCUGAUGAGGUCUAGCUCGACAGAGGUUAUGGCCGACUAUGAGUCGACAAGAACUUCAAUAAGCGGGCCCACUAUGCUUGGAUAUCUUAGGUCUUGGGCUUUUUUAUAUCAUCAGUCCAGGCAAAAUUUUUCUCAACACAUGCCCCCUACUUACGAGUCCGACUUUGCUUGGGCAAAGGGAGUAUAUCUGUUUCUUUAAGCCAAAGAAGUGAAAAGAUCCUUCAGUUGAUGGGAUG
rnacentral:lncRNA from 1 species